UCGAAAGACCUUAUGCUUUUGGAGCGGCCGAUGUCUGAUUAGCUAGUUGGUAAGGUAAUGGCUUACCAAGGCGACGAUCAGUAGUUGGUCUGAGAGGACGACCAGCCACACUGGGACUGAGACACGGCCCAGACUCCUACGGGAGGCAGCAGUGGGGAAUUUUGGACAAUGGGCGCAAGCCUGAUCCAGCAAUGCCGCGUGAGUGAAGAAGGCCUUCGGGUUGUAAAGCUCUUUCAGUCGAGAAGAAAAGGCUGUGACUAAUAAUCAUAGCUCAUGACGGUAUCGACAGAAGAAGCACCGGCUAACUACGUGCCAGCAGCCGCGGUAAUACGUAGGGUGCAAGCGUUAAUCGGAAUUACUGGGCGUAAAGGGUGCGCAGGCGGUUUUGUAAGUCAGAUGUGAAAUCCCCGGGCUUAACCUGGGAACUGCGUUU
rnacentral:rRNA from 1 species